CCUACGGGGGGCUGCAGUGGGGAAUAUUGGACAAUGGGCGAAAGCCUGAUCCAGCCAUGCCGCGUGUGUGAAGAAGGCCUUCGGGUUGUAAAGCACUUUCAGUGGGGAAGAAAGCCUUGGGGCUAAUACCCUCGAGGAAGGACAUCACCCACAGAAGAAGCACCGGCUAACUACGUGCCAGCAGCCGCGGUAAUACGGAGGGUGCGAGCGUUAAUCGGAAUUACUGGGCGUAAAGCGCGCGUAGGCGGUCUGAUAAGCCGGUUGUGAAAGCCCCGGGCUCAACCUGGGAACGGCAUCCGGAACUGUCAGGCUAGAGUGCAGGAGAGGAAGGUAGAAUUCCCGGUGUAGCGGUGAAAUGCGUAGAGAUCGGGAGGAAUACCAGUGGCGAAGGCGGCCUUCUGGACUGACACUGACGCUGAGGUGCGAAAGCGUGGGUAGCAAACAGGAUUAGAUACCCCAGGAGUC
rnacentral:rRNA from 1 species